UACGGAGGGUGCGAGCGUUGUCCGGAAUCACUGGGCGUAAAGCGCACGUAGGCGGCUUUUAAGUCAGGGGUGAAAUCCUGGAGCUCAACUCCAGAACUGCCUUUGAUACUGAGAAGCUUGAGUCCGGGAGAGGUGAGUGGAACUGGCGAGUGUAGAGGUGAAAUUCGUAGAUAUUCGCAAGAACACCAGUGGCGAAGGCGGCUCACUGGCCCGGUACUGACGCUGAGAUACGAAAAGCGUGGGGAGCAAACAGGGAUUAAGAA
rnacentral:rRNA from 1 species